UUGAUCUUAUGUUUUAGGUUAGCAUUCUUUAAGGCUGCCUAUGCGUUGUUCGAUUCUGAUUUCUAUGUUAAAGCUGAUGAUGACAUUUACUUGAGACCAGUUUAGGGGUACAUAAAACAUACGGUGUACAAGUUGAGGGAACAAGAGCGCAAUUCAUACCAUAUGUUUUUUUGUAUUUGCGAACGCUCACCUGGGCAAUUAUACUGUGUAGCACU